rnacentral:rRNA from 1 species
GAUGAACGCUAGCGGCAGGCCUAAUACAUGCAAGACGAACGGUAAGUUGAGUAGCAAUACUUAGCCAAGAGUGUCGUACGGGUGCGUAACACGUAUGCAACCUACCCUAUACAGGAGGAUAGCCUAGGGAAACCUGGAUUAACCCUUCAUAGUAUUAUUGGAUGGCAUCAUUGAUAAUUAAACUGAGGUGGUAUAGGAUGGGCAUGCGUCUGAUUAGUUAGUUGGCGGGUAAUGGCCCACCAAGACGAUGAUCAGUAGGGGUUCUGAGAGGAAGACUCCCCCACACUGGCACUGAGAUACGGGCCAGACUCCUACGGGAGGCAGCAGUAGGGAAUAUUGGUCAAUGGAUGCAAGUCUGAACCAGCCAUGCCGCGUGCAGGAAGAAGGCCUUCUGGGGUUAGUAAACUGUCUUUUAGUUCGGGAAUAAACCUGCUUACGU